CCUUUGAACAAUUUGAGGUGAGAAACCACCAUUCACACCUUUACUUUUGCUAUACUUGUUAGUUUGUCGCCUGGGAUAUGGGCCAUCUCACCCUAAGCACUUAGCGGAAUGUUGCUGAAGUCCAGUACCGGCUGUCAUUUGUUUAUGCAAUUGAGCCUCUGUUGUAUUGGAGUCCAUUCUCCUUGCAGCUGCCCACAAUUUUAGCAUUCCUUCUUUUGAUUCAAGUGUCAGCGUUUUGAGAGUCCUUUUUUUUCCUUCAUUUGUCGGUAGCUAGGCAAGGUCAACUGGAAGUUGUCUUUGAUUUAUGGAGGAAAUUAUGGAGAUUGGACGUAAAUGAUAUUGGAUUGCAGUUUGGGAUAUGAUUCAUGUUGCAAUUUUAUGAUGGAACGCCUUGUCUUCUCUCCUGUGAACGAUUCUCUUUACUCCAGGUUAAAACCAGGAUUUCCUGACACUUUCAGAUAGCACUAAUCAGAUGCUGGGCUUUCACCUUUACUAUAUACUCCCUACUUUUCUUAAUCUAACGUUCAAACAGCAUUUAGUUGUGCAAACUUAUGCUUCAUAAUUAUGGUUGAGGACAUAAACAAGUUUAACUCAGUAGGUGGUUUAGAAAUGAGAAUUCUAAGAAUUCUCAUGAGAAGAUUUAAGAAUUUGCUGGAAUUGAACUAGAGUUAAUUGGGUAAGCACGACUAGAAUGUAAAUUGAGAUGGAAUAUGGUUGUUAAUACUUCAUUGGAUUCCAAGUCAAAAAGGCAUUAGUGGAUAUGUAGAGAGCGUGAUUCUAAUGCUGGUUUGGCUGUUUUGGUCUUAUACAAUGGGUGGUUGUUAUGGAAUUCACAAGCUACUGAUUAGUGGAUAUCUUUCUGGGACAACUUUUAAUAAGCAAAAAACUUUCUUUAUGCCUAACUUUUGCAUUUGACUUCUUUAUAUUUUUGUUUGGCCUGAGAACAUUAAUCUCUAUGACAUGACUGUUAUUUUGGUGGAGAAAUCCACAUAAAUUGGCAGACGACAUUUUCAGUCAGAUUCUUUCAUACUGAUGAUGAUUGAAGUAUUGUAUUUUAUUCAUCUGUAUUUUUGUUGUUAGUAUAUUUCUUGUUGACCUGGAGGAUAGGGCUACAAUUUCACAAAUCUUCACUGUUGCCAAAAGUAGCACAUUCUCUUGUUGCUUAUUAGCUGUUGUCAAGAUGCCCAAAUUUGUUAGUGUUGACACUG
rnacentral:misc_RNA from 1 species